GCCUCUGUAGCUCAGUUUUUUAGAGCGCUGCACCUGAAUUUCAGGACCGCAGGUUCGAUUCCUGCCAGGAACC